rnacentral:rRNA from 1 species
AAUAGAUACCCAGGUAGUCCACGCCCUAAACGAUGUCUACUAGUUGUCGGGGGGUAACUCCUUCGGUAACGCAGCUAACGCGUGAAGUAGACCGCCUGGGGAGUACGGUCGCAAGAUUAAAACUCAAAGGAAUUGACGGGGCCCGCACAAGCGGUGGAUGAUGUGGAUUAAUUCGAUGCAACGCGAAAAACCUUACUUACCCUUGACAUGCCACUAACGAAGCAGAGAUGCAUUAGGUGCCCGAAAGGGAAAGUGGACACAGGUGCUGCAUGGCUGUCGUCAGCUCGUGUCGUGAGAUGUUGGGUUAAGUCCCGCAACGAGCGCAACCCUUGCCAAUAGUUGCUACGAAAGGGCACUCUAUUGGGACUGCCGGUGACAAACCGGAGGAAGGUGGGGAUGACGUCAAGUCCUCAUGGCCCUUAUGGGUAGGGCUUCACACGUCAUACAAUGGCUGGUACAGAGGGUUGCCAACCCGGCGAGGGGGGAGCCCGAAUCCCGACAAAACCAGUCGUAGUCCGGAUUGCAGUCUGCAACUCGA